GCCGAAAGAUUAAUGACCAAAUGUUUGUUUUAAACUGUCCGACCCGACAGCGAAUGGCUGUGGGUUUAUUAUGGUACACACUACACACAUUAUACAUCAUAUUAUGCAUGUGUGUUGUACGUGUAUGCAUAUCUGAUAGCAUCGGCAGCUCGGUGAUAUUUAAUCAUAACAUAAUAUACGAAUACAAUCGAACGUCGUAUAACCCGAGAAUUAAUUAUUCAAUGUUUAUAUCCGAACCGACUGGCAGGUAUUCGAAGACUUCAUAUUAUCAUAACAUAAUAAUAUAAUACACGUCCGUCCUGUGCGCGCGGAAUUCGCUCGCAACGUGAUGCAUAUUUUGCUGGUCUGUUUCGUGUUGCUCCGAUGCUCGUCCGGAAUCGCGACUCCACGACGGCGGCGAAGUAUCAACACCACGUGGCCACGUAGUGGGUAUUCGACAAUCUCCGGAGUCCCGUCUUGUUCAAUUCGCAACAAAUUGCGCACACAUAUUAUAUUCUUUGAGACUAUAGGAUACACCGAAUUUCAGAACCACAUCUGCGAUAGACAUGACUGAAUGUGUGUGCAUAUACACCACAAACUAGUGUAGUAGCUUAAUAACUUCGUGGCGGACUGCCGAUUUCAGUGGAAUUCGUGUAUACUGCAGAGCGACAUACACCGACCUCGAUUUGACGUGAGCUAUAAGGUACAUUAAACCAAGAUACGCCUGUUAGCGCUGUAAUGUAUAUAACAUGUUGAUUGUUUAGAUGAGAACAAGUUAUUAUAUGUUAUAAGUUAUUAUAAUAAGAGUAGCCAUAGCAUUAAACGUCACAUAUACUAUAAAAAACUGCAGUCUCUGUGCGGCAAUCAGCCGCGGCUUUAGACGCUGCAGGAAAACCUACCUUUACACUCAUACGCACAACCAUCCAUCACAGAUAUGGUUUCGUGAUUUGUUAUUAUUAUUAUUAUUAUUUAUCUGAACCUUGGUACCUGUCGAUCGAUUCAUUAUUAGACUAUAAUGAUAUUCACUAAAUAAGCGGACGAUUGUCGCUCAAACCAAUAUUUUAGGUACCUAUCACUCGUAGUGCAAUUUUUUGACAAGGUAAUAUUAUAAUAAUUCGAUAAUCUAUAAAAUCUAUAACGACAAUGGUCGGCAUUCUUGUGUUUUCUCUUUUUUUAGUUGCCUACUAAUUUCACAUACUAGUAUAGUACAAAGAAAAUAUCACACCAACACAGAUUCAGAUUGAUGCAGCUUGCUGUAUAAUAAAUAGUAAUUAUGCUACAUUAACGGACAUAGUGAAAUAUUAUUUUACUAAAAUAAUACGCAACGAACAUAUUAUUUGAUUUAUUUCAAUUUUUAAAACAUAUUAUAUUGUUAUAGACUACAUACAUAGCGAUCUUAGAAUUUAAGGUAUUUUUGA